rnacentral:rRNA from 1 species
AUUGAACGCUGGCGGCAGGCCUAACACAUGCAAGUCGAACGAGUGGCGGACGGGUGAGUAAUGUCUGGGAAACUGCCUGAUGGAGGGGGAUAACUACUGGAAACGGUAGCUAAUACCGCAUACCAUCAGAUGUGCCCAGAUGGGAUUAGCUUGUUGGUGGGGUAACGGCUCACCAAGGCGACGAUCCCUAGCUGGUCUGAGAGGAUGACCAGCAGAACUGGAAGUGAGACAGGGCCCAGAAUCCUCCGGGAGGAAGAAGUGGGGAAUAUUGCAAAAUGAGCGCAAGCUGGAUGAAGACAUGCGGCGUGGAUGAAGAAGGCUUUCGGGUUGUAAAGUACUUUCAGCGGGGAGGCGUUACCGGAAGAAGAAGCACCGGCUAACUACGUGCCAGCAGCCGCGGUAAUAC